rnacentral:rRNA from 1 species
GUGGGGAAUAUUGGACAAUGGGCGCAAGCCUGAUCCAGCCAUGCCGCGUGAGUGAUGAAGGCCUUAGGGUUGUAAAGCUCUUUCAGUGGGGACGAUAAUGACGGUACCCACAGAAGAAGCCCCGGCUAACUUCGUGCCAGCAGCCGCGGUAAUACGAAGGGGGCUAGCGUUGUUCGGAAUUACUGGGCGUAAAGCGCACGUAGGCGGACAUUUAAGUCAGGGGUGAAAUCCCGGGGCUCAACCCCGGAACUGCCUUUGAUACUGGGUGUCUGGAGUAUGGGAGAGGUAAGUGGAAUUCCGAGUGUAGAGGUGAAAUUCGUAGAUAUUCGGAGGAACACCAGUGGCGAAGGCGGCGUACUGGUCCAUUACUGACGCUGAGGUGCGAAAGCGUGGGGAGCAAACAGGAUUAGAAACCCUUGUAGUCC